rnacentral:lncRNA from 1 species
CUUUAAGCCACUCCUUUUUUGAGCCCUGACUAAAUUGUCAAUCCUUUUGUCAUCUGCAUGGGAAGCAGCUCAUGAUCACAUGACCUGUGCAGAUUCUGAAGCCCUGUCUCAGACUUGCUGAUUCAGAAUCUCUAUGGGCAGAAGGCUCAGGAAUCUGCACCAAGACCAAUGCACGUGCUGGAGUUUGUCUUUCCUUCACUGAGUUCUCAUUCAUCUCUUUAAUUUGAGAGUGGCCCACAUUGGGUAGAGACAGGAUCUCACCGUGUUGCCCAGGCUGAUCUCAAACUCCUGGGUUCAAGUAAUUCUCCUGCCUCUGCCUGCCAAAGUACUGGGAUUAUAG